rnacentral:rRNA from 1 species
GAUGAACGCUAGCUACAGGCUUAACACAUGCAAGUCGUACGGCAGCGGAUACUUAGCUUGCGAAGUAUGCCGGCGACCGGCGCACGGGUGAGUAACGCGUACCGAACCUGCCCAUCACAUAGGUAUAGGCAUGCGAAAGCAAGAUCAAUAUCUGAUGCUCUCAAUUUUAUGCGUGUAUGAUUGAUUAAAGCCUUCGGGCGGUGAUGGAUGGCGGUGCGUUUCAUUAGGAAGUUGGCGGGGUAACGGCCCACCAAUGCUUCGAUGGGUAGGGGUUCUGAGAGGUAGGUCCCCCGCAUGGGAACCGAGAUACGGUGCAAACUCCUACGGGAGGCAGCAGUGAGGAAUGUUAGUCGAUGGGCGAGAGCCUGAACCAGCCAAGUAGCGUGCGAGAUGCAGGCCGUUGUGGUCGUAAACCGUUUUUAUGAGUGAAUAAAGUGCACGACGUGUGGUGUCAUUGCAGGUAGCUGAAGAAAAAGGACCGGCUAAUUCCGUG